ACUCCUACGGGAGGCAGCAGUGGGGAAUAUUGCACAAUGGGGGAAACCCUGAUGCAGCCAUGCCGCGUGUGUGAAGAAGGCCUUCGGGUUGUAAAGCACUUUCAGUAGGGAGGAAGGUAGUGUAGUUAACACCUGCAUUAUUUGACGUUACCUACAGAAGAAGCACCGGCUAACUCCGUGCCAGCAGCCGCGGUAAGUACGGAGGGUGCGAGCGUUAAUCGGAAUUACUGGGCGUAAAGCGCAUGCAGGCGGCCUGUUAAGUCAGAUGUGAAAGCCCGGGGCUUAACCUCGGAAUUGCAUUUGAAACUGGCAGGCUAGAGUCUUGUAGAGGGGUUAGAAUUUCAGGUGUAGCGGUGAAAUGCGUAGAGAUCUGAAGGAAUACCAGUGGCGAAGGCGGCCCCGUGGACAAAGACUGACGCUCAGAUGCGAAAGCGUGGGAGCAAACAGGAUUAGAUACCCCGUGGUAGGUCAGUC
rnacentral:rRNA from 1 species